CUGGCGGCGUGCCUAAUACAUGCAAGUAGAACGCUGAAGAGAGGAGCUUGCUCUUCUUGGAUGAGUUGCGAACGGGUGAGUAACGCGUAGGUAACCUGCCUUGUAGCGGGGGAUAACUAUUGGAAACGAUAGCUAAUACCGCAUAACAAUGGAUGACACAUGUCAUUUAUUUGAAAGGGGCAAUUGCUCCACUACAAGAUGGACCUGCGUUGUAUUAGCUAGUAGGUGAGGUAAUGGCUCACCUAGGCGACGAUACAUAGCCGACCUGAGAGGGUGAUCGGCCACACUGGGACUGAGACACGGCCCAGACUCCUACGGGAGGCAGCAGUAGGGAAUCUUCGGCAAUGGGGGCAACCCUGACCGAGCAACGCCGCGUGAGUGAAGAAGGUUUUCGGAUCGUAAAGCUCUGUUGUAAGUCAAGAACGGGUGUGAGAGUGGAAAGUUCACACUGUGACGGUAGCUUACCAGAAAGGGACGGCUAACUACGUGCCAGCAGCCGCGGUAAUACGUAGGUCCCGAGCGUUGUCCGGAUUUAUUGGGCGUAAAGCGAGCGCAGGCGGUUUGAUAAGUCUGAAGUUAAAGGCUGUGGCUCAACCAUAGUUCGCUUUGGAAACUGUCAAACUUGAGUGCAGAAGGGGAGAGUGGAAUUCCAUGUGUAGCGGUGAAAUGCGUAGAUAUAUGGAGGAACACCGGUGGCGAAAGCGGCUCUCUGGUCUGUAACUGACGCUGAGGCUCGAAAGCGUGGGGAGCGAACAGGAUUAGAUACCCUGGUAGUCCACGCCGUAAACGAUGAGUGCUAGGUGUUGGAUCCUUUCCGGGAUUCAGUGCCGCAGCUAACGCAUUAAGCACUCCGCCUGGGGAGUACGACCGCAAGGUUGAAACUCAAAGGAAUUGACGGGGGCCCGCACAAGCGGUGGAGCAUGUGGUUUAAUUCGAAGCAACGCGAAGAACCUUACCAGGUCUUGACAUCCCGAUGCUAUUUCUAGAGAUAGAAAGUUACUUCGGUACAUCGGUGACAGGUGGUGCAUGGUUGUCGUCAGCUCGUGUCGUGAGAUGUUGGGUUAAGUCCCGCAACGAGCGCAACCCCUAUUGUUAGUUGCCAUCAUUCAGUUGGGCACUCUAGCGAGACUGCCGGUAAUAAACCGGAGGAAGGUGGGGAUGACGUCAAAUCAUCAUGCCCCUUAUGACCUGGGCUACACACGUGCUACAAUGGUUGGUACAACGAGUUGCGAGUCGGUGACGGCGAGCUAAUCUCUUAAAGCCAAUCUCAGUUCGGAUUGUAGGCUGCAACUCGCCUACAUGAAGUCGGAAUCGCUAGUAAUCGCGGAUCAGCACGCCGCGGUGAAUACGUUCCCGGGCCUUGUACACACCGCCCGUCACACCACGAGAGUUUGUAACACCCGAAGUCGGUGAGGUAACCUUUUGGAGCCAGCCGCCUAAGGUGGGACAGAUGAUUGGGG
rnacentral:rRNA from 1 species